GUUGUUUUAUACGUAAGUAGUGCAUAAUUUUAUUCCAGACAUUCCAAACAAAGUAAAAAUAAUGCUAAACAAGUUUCAUAUACUUUACUUAUAGAAAUAAGUUUAAUUUAACAGUGAACGAUUUUCAAACGAAUUUUAAUCCUCAAGAGACGCAGAUAUUAUUACUCGAUAUCGAUACGAUAACAUCGGUAAAGUAUCUUAAGAAUUAAUCACUUUUGAAAUCGAUUUACUUCUAAUAUUACAGCAGAUGAUCUACGUGAUUCAUAAAGGAAACUUAAGAAAUGGACUCAUUUACAAGGACUAUAUUUUAACGGUUUGUCAAUUGAUCCCAAGAUGUUUGGAUUUUAUCUAUAUUAAUUUUUUUUUUUUUUUAUUUCAAAAAUAGCAGUUAUGUUGAACAAAAUUCAUGUAACUCUUUGUCACACAUUACUAACGUAUGAUAUGAUAGAUAUAUGCGUGCCCGUAUGAUACAAAAAAAAUAAAACUUAUAAUGAGAAAAUAGACAGAGUUUUGACAUUUCUACGAUCAAUGACACAAAAUAUAACAAAAAUUGGUAUGGACUUGUUUGAGGAGGAGAGGAGUAGCAGAAUUACGAAGAUAAUAACGGUAAGAAUUUUAUGUCAAAAGUUUACGAGCUCAUUAGUAAUGUAAAUUUAUUACCAUGCACGAGUAAAAAUCGCAGUACACUAAAAAAAGGUAAUUUUAAUCAUUUUUCGGUUAUUAACGAAAAGAAAUUGAAGGUGGCUAAAAUAAGUACCGGAGGCAAUAAAAUUCAAAAAUAUUUUGAAAACAAUAUAGAUUUACUAAAACUCAAUAAAAUUUACACAAAAGAACUUCAGAACAAAUUCGGUUUAUCAAAAUAUGAAAUUCGGUCAAAGGAUUUGUCGGCACACGAAGCAAAGUAAGAAAUAAUAUUGUUUUAUACACUUAAGAGACUUCAACAAUAUUUUACAAAUACUAUAUUAAACGAAAAAAGAAACUUUUACAAAUAAAUCGAAAAAGACCCGGAGGAAACGAACAAUCUUACGGGCAUUUUACAUAAUAUGUGGCAGAAAAUCCCUUUCUUUUUUUACCGAAAAUUUCGAUAGCGUAGAUAUGAACGAGUUAAAAUCAAAAAAUAUAACUGUUAGAG